GACGAACGCUGGCGGCGUGCUUAACACAUGCAAGUCGAACGGUGAACGAGGGAGCUUGCUCCCUACGGAACAGUGGCGAACGGGUGAGGAACACGUGAGCAAUCUGCCCCGAACUCGGGGAUAAGCGUUGGAAACGACGUCUAGUGCCGGAUACGACGCGGGAGGGCAUCCUCUCCGCGUGGAAAGAAAGUAGGCUGGGGAUGGGCGCGGGGCCUAUCAGCUUGUUGGUGCGGUAACGGCCCGCCAAGGCGACGAAGGGUAGCCGGCCCUAGAGGGGGACCGGCCACCCUGGGACUGGGGCCAGGGCCCGACCCCCCCGGGAGGCCGCAGUGGGGAAUAUUGCACAAUGGGCGCAAGCCUGAUGCAGCCACGCCGCGUGGGGGAAGACGGCCUUCGGGUUGUAAUCCUCUUUUAGCAGGGAAGAAGCGAAAGUGACGGUACCUGCAGAAAAAGCACCGGCUAACUACGUG
rnacentral:rRNA from 1 species